rnacentral:lncRNA from 1 species
AAAGACUAUACACAUAAAGUAUAUACUUUCGUAGAGAGCAUGUGUAUAUUCAAUAGUGUAAGCGUUAGCACGGUGAAUUAGCAUGAACAUUAGCAACUUCUUCCAAUCUUCCAAGUCUCCUUUUUAUAGGCAGUUAAAAUAUCCGUUUGAGGGUAGAAUUGGAACUAUAAAUUGCAGCUAUCUCUUUGUGUAACUAUUUUCAUAUAGGAGACAAAAUGGUACAAUAGUAUUGUCCGUAACCCACAAAAUCAGCGUAGUGGGGGGAAGGGAGAUCUUGGACUGUGUGAUGUUUUUCUGAUGCACAACCUUUUGAGAUUAUCUUCUAAUAUUCAGAGGCUUUUGAUUAAAUGAUGUUGAAGCAUGCUUAUAAGGAUCAAGAUACUAGUUGACAAAAUCUUUAGAACUUCGGUCUUUAGAGUCUUGACGCAAUUCCUCAUAACCUGGUCUUCAGAGUCUUCAGAUCUUGCUCUUCAAAAUCUUCAGAACUUGAGUGCAAAAUCUUGAAGGCUGACAAUCCUUCAGAGGCUUUUCAAUCAUAGUCACAACCAGAAGCUUUAGAAUAAAUGUUCAUCAAAACCAUUGUCUAAGAGCUUUCUUGAACUUAACAACAUCUUGUAAAGCCCUUGUAUCUCUUCAUAGUCAGAGUGUGUUGAUUCCAAAAUCAGAUGAUGUCACACAUCAAUGCUUCAGAGUCAGAAUCUGUUACCAAAAGCUGCACACUAGAUAAAAACCAUUAGUGUACAAAAUUGUUCUCUAAGAAAUAAUACAUUGUUAUCAUCAAAAUUAAGGGCUAGAUGCAGAACCAAAUCUUGUUCUUACAAUAGAGAAUCAUUUAAUGAUUUCCACUUGCAUGUUUAAAAUUUUACAAUGAGUCUAUUUGUACUUGCUAAGUUUAAGGUUUUAUUGGUUAGUUCUCAGAAGACCAUUCAAAUGGUGUUUAGUUGGAAGUUCAUCCGGUUAAAUCUCCGGGGAUCUUCCAGUGAUUGUUAUUUUGAAGGGUGUUGCUGAUAACUCUUGGGAAAUAUCGAUUAUUGUACGUCACAUUGUUUCUUGUCAUGCAUUUUCAAAUAAAUCUAAAAAAUUCUUUCCAUCCUCACUUGUUAAGUUGAAAGAACACGAAUUUUCUCUUUGAUGGUCUUCUAUCCAAUAUUUGAUAGAUGUAAUCCCUACUUUUUUUUCAGAGUCUAUCAUUGAUAUGUUUAUCCUAAUCGGUGACAAAUUUUCUCUUUGAUGAUCUUCUAUCCAGUAUUCGAUAGAUGUAAUCCCUACUUUUUAUUCAGUUGGUAUAUCCUUGAUAUGUUCAUCUUAACCGAUGACGGGUAUCCUCCUUAACAAUUUCCAGGCAAGACUAACCUUGAUAUGUUCAUCUUAACCGAUGAUAGAUUUUCUUUCCUUUGAGUCUAUCCUUGAUAUGUUCACCUUAAUCGGUGACAGAUAUUCUCAUCUUUGGUCUUCUUCCCAGUAACUGGUAGUUGUAAAUCCUAUUUCUGAAGCUUUCCCCUGCAAGGCUACUCUUACCCAGUAACUGGUAAUGAAUAUUCCCUCCUGAUGGUUUCCAGCGAGUCAUCCUUGAUAUGUUCAUCCUAACCGAUGACGGGUGUCCUCUCUGUCAGACUUUUGUUAUCUCCUUACCCAGUAGCGGUUAGUGGAUAAUAGAUUUCUUCUCCUCCUAUGUUGAAGUUUAUUUCUUCCCCCAGUUGAGUUGAGUGUGCUUCUCCUUAGUGAUAUCUCUUUCCCCUACAUUGAUUCAAGAACUUCAGUUUUAUCCUGAUCUACUUGUAAUUCACUGCAGAUGUCUUGUUUCCUCGGCUGAGUCUUUCCAUUUGAUGGAAUUCCUCUAGUCCCCUAGUAGUUUUUAAGUCGUAGCCUGGCCUACGCAUAACCCUUUAUCCCCCAGAGUCUUUGUCUCCUCAGUGAGUUUUCCUUGUGGAAUGCAUUAUGCUCCUGCGGAUCUUCGGUAUGUCUGAUUUGUUUUCCUUUGUGGCAACAUUUCCCCACAGAGAAUUUGCUUUUUACAUACAUAUCAUAUGCAUCAUGAGGUCUCUUAGGGACCAACAUUUGUUUCUAUAUGUUGUUAUUUAAGCCCAUUCUAUUGAGUCGACGCGAAGAUUUUAAUCUUCACCUCCUCAGGUAGAAUGACCUUAAAUAUGGGCAUCUGUAAGACCCCUAAUUUUGACCCUAAGAUCCCUCAUACAAUUUCAUCAUAUGCAUUAGCAUUGGGAUCAUACCUUGAC